UAGGCAGAAGGUUAGGCGGGCUGCGCGUCGUCAUGGAGCCUGACGGGACCUACGAGCCAGGCUUCGUGGGUAUUCGCUUCUGCCAGGAAUGUAACAACAUGCUAUACCCCAAGGAAGACAAGGAGAACUGCAUUCUGCUCUACGCGUGCCGGAACUGUGAUUACCAGCAGGAGGCCGACAACAGCUGCAUCUAUGUCAACAAGAUCACGCAGGAAGUGGACGAACUGACCCAGAUUAUUGCCGACGUGUCCCAGGACCCCACGUUGCCGCGGACCGAGGACCACCCGUGCCAGAAGUGUGGCCACAAGGAGGCUGUGUUCUUCCAGUCACACAGUGCCCGGGCCGAGGACGCCAUGCGUCUGUACCACGUGUGCACGGCCCCACACUGCGGCCACCGCUGGACCGAGUGACCUCACCUCUCCCCCGAGUGUAAUUAACACCAGAUUCCAUG